rnacentral:rRNA from 1 species
GAUGAACGCUAGCGGCAGGCCUAACACAUGCAAGUCGAGGGAGAAGCCCUUCGGGGCAGAAACCGGCGCACGGGUGCGUAACGCGUAUGCAACCUACCUUUCACAGGGGGAUAGCCCGAAGAAAUUUGGAUUAAUACCCCAUAAUAUUAUUGGGUGGCAUCAUUUGAUAAUUAAAAUUACGAUGGUGAAAGAUGGGCAUGCGUCCUACUAGCUAGUUGGAGUGGUAACGGCACCCCAAGGCUACGAUAGGUAGGGGUCCUGAGAGGGAGAUCCCCCACACUGGUACUGAGACAGGGACCAGACUCCUACGGGAGGCAGCAGUGAGGAAUAUUGGUCAAUGGUCGGAAGACUGAACCAGCCAUGCCGCGUGCAGGAAGAAUGCCUUAUGGGUUGUAAACUGCUUUUAUAUGGGAAGAAUAAGGAGUA